CACGGGGUUGCGAGCGUUGUCCGGAAUUACUAGGCGUAAAGGGCAGGCAGGCGGAUCCAUAAGUUUAUCGUUUAAGGCGUCGGCUUAACCGGCGUAGGGCGGUAGAUACUAUGGAUCUGGAAUGCGGUUGGGGAAGACAGAAUUCCUGGUGUAGCGGUGGAAUGCACAGAGAUCAGGAGGAAUACCGAAGGCGAAGGCAGUCUUCCAAGCCGUUAUUGACGCUCAACUGCGAAGGUGUGGGUAUCAAACAGGAUUAGAUACCCGGUAGUCCCUGAG
rnacentral:rRNA from 1 species